rnacentral:misc_RNA from 1 species
GUCAUUACUCGUUACUUUUCAGUCCAACACAUGGGCAGUGCCGAGAUUUCAAGAUUCAACAGACCCUGCCCCAAUAACUUAAUAAAACACCAAAUAUUCCAAACAAGCACAAAGAAUGGUGAAAACAUUGCUGUUAAAUUUGAAAGUUUAAGUUGUAUAAUUUUGCAAGUUAGAAGCAUGUAAACAAUUAAAAACGUACACUAACUUGGAAUCAAGUAAAAUAAAGUUAAAAUCAUAAUUUCAA